GGCGUCACUGCAGGGCGGGCGUCACUGCAGGGCGUCACUCCCGGGCGUCACUGCAGGGCGUCACUCCCGGGCGUCACUGCAGGGCGUCACUCCCGGGCGUCACUGCAGGCUCACGGAACACUGGAGAAGCGGUUGGUUGUCUUGGUGGCGCUCACGGAACACUGGAGAAGCGGUUGUCUUGGUGGUGGGAGCGCUGCGGACGGGACCCUGGACUGCACGGGUCGGGCUCCGGCCCUGAGCUACACUUCUUUUUUAUUCUGCAUUUUCACCUUCUGUAGUCACCAUGCUUCAUUUGCCGUUUUACGGUGACUUUCGUCAUUGGUUGAAUGCAUGAGGAGCAGACUUCAGUCUUCCUCCGCGCACGGGCGCCCAGGGGCCACGGUGUCAGCGCUGCUGGUGGGAGCUGCGGCUCUGGCAGCUGGCGUGGGCGUGCUUCCGUACCUUCACGUCCUUCAGUCCCCACCCCCUGGCCCAGGGACCCGUGUGGAGAGAGGCAAGCUGGAGGCCACCCGUCAACUGAACACACCUGGUUUCUCUCCCCUUCCCUUCGUCUUCUGAGUCAGGGCCCCACGACGUAGCCAAGGCUGCCCUUGGGCUUGCGCGGGCCCUGUAGUGCGGGGUUUACACACAAGCUCCCCUGUAGGGUAACGAAAGGGCGGGACCGUGCCGCUAACCACACCCACUUUGGGCGUGACUAGAGACCACAUCCAUAUACGGGUCUCUAGAGCGCCACGUGGCUAAGGGCGGAGGCCUCAGUUUCCCCCACACUCCCCACACUGGCUCCAAAGGUAAUCUUUUUUGAUUGUUUGUUUGUUUUUGGUUUUUUCCAGACAGGGUUUCUCUGUACUGUUUUGGAGGCUGCCCUGGCACUCGCUCUGUGCAAAGGUCUGCAGUCGAUCUGGCUGGAAUGACCACGUCUGAGUGUAAGGCGAGUGUGUUCAGGAGUUUCCCUGACUCAGAAGACUUCCUCCUCCUUCCCUCUCCUCCUUCAUGCAGCCAUGAUGCUGGAGCUGAAGCUGGAGCAGCCUUGGACCAUGUGACAGAAGGCAACUAUGGAUCAUUCCGGAACAAGACAGAGGCGGUCUCUAAUGCUUGUAACAAAAUUUGAGAUGACGAGUCGCCCUCAGGGAAACUUUCCCCUCUGAUUGCAGGACGACACACUCUAGAAGAGAAGCAGACCUCCAGGGCCCCCUCUGUCCUGCUGUUUUGAUUUUCAUUUUAUUUAUUUAAUUAUCUAUUUCGGUUUUGAAGUUUUGAAAGCAUUUCACUGUGUAUCCCCUGGCUGGCCCUCACUCAGUGUGUAUGAGGGCCUCUGCAAACAUCACAGCCAGAAGCAAAGUAACCCGAGAAGAGACGUGAAUGAAACUCGGUUCAGCUCAACUUUAGUUGCCCCGCGCUGGUUCAAACUCCUGGAGUCUGACACCAGGUGGCUUGACUUAGCCCUAUUUAAGCACAAUUUUGGAGAAAAGUUUCCUGAUGACUCAAUCCCAUGUGUAGAGCAAAGCUUAAGACAUACUUACAUUGAAACUCUUCACAAACCGCAUGCGGACUCUUUUCAUAAGGAUGGGUUCUGUAGACUUACAAACAAAGCUCAUGAUAAGGGUCUAGGGAGAACGACGGAGGUAAACGCGAUGCCUGUGGGACUCAGGAUUGGCCUGGCCCUAAGAUAACAUGGAAGUCACUUAGGCUGUAGUAAACUGUAAGUGACAUUUCUUAUGAGGAUGGUUUUAUGGACUAAGAACCAAUGCUCAAGAUCUGGGGCGGGGGAGUCUGUGCUAAAUAAUAUAACAAUAUUCUGGGGGAUUCGGGUGCAGCCUGGCCCUGCAGAUAGCAAAGAUCACCAGGUUGUAAGCCACAUCCUUUUCCAGAAUUCCAAGCAGAAGACAGCUAAGCAUCUCCUUGCUUUGAAGAGACAAGCAUUCGUGUUUCUCUUUCUGGUUUCCCUUGUGCUUAUCUGUGUGCAGGGACCUCUUUCCU